CCCUGACAGAGACCAGAGGCGAUCAGAGAAAUUACUCUCUUGAAGGGGGAGAUCUACCCUGGAAUCUGGCAAACCCAGAGCUGGCCAUGUAUCUAGCCUUGUCCACCUGGAUACACACAGCGUUGCUAUGCAACAUCAUGGGGUUCCUGUGGACCCACACCCCAAUGCGUGUGAUGUCAUACAUGCUCCUCCCCUUCACUCUGCUACUCAGCUUCCUCCUUGGAAAUGUGCAUAGGCUGGUUGUAUUAGGGUUCUGGAUGUGGCAGGACCUACGACAGAUCACCUUCUUUAUCAUCAACACCCUGGUCUCCAGCUUCCACAUAAACCUAGAAGACAG